rnacentral:misc_RNA from 1 species
CCGAGCGAGCGAGGGCUCCGGCCCGAGUUCGAUAACCCUUUGAUUUAUCAAGACCUCUUUAUGCCUCGGGGGCGACCCGGCCUCGCGGCCGCGGUCCUCCCGGUGGUACCCCCCUUCAACUCUGCAUCAAUUGUCGUCUGAGCGAAAAGUAAAUUCAAUCA